rnacentral:rRNA from 1 species
UACAGAGGGGGCAAGCGUUAUUCGGAAUUAUUGGGCGUAAAGGGCGCGUAGGCGGCCUGACAAGUGGAAGGUGAAAUCCCUCGGCUUAACCGAGGAACUGCCCUCCAAACUGUCUGGCUUGAGACCGGGAGAGGUGAGUGGAAUUCCCAGUGUAGCGGUGAAAUGCGUAGAUAUUGGGAGGAACACCAGUGGCGAAGGCGGCUCACUGGACCGGUACUGACGCUGAGGCGCGGAAAAGCGUGGGGAGCAAACGGG